rnacentral:rRNA from 1 species
AGUGAACGCUGGCGGUAGGCCUAACACAUGCAAGUCGAACGGCAGCACAGUAAGAGCUUGCUCUUACGGGUGGCGAGUGGCGGACGGGUAAGGAAUACAUCGGAAUCUACUUUUUCGUGGGGGAUAACGUAGGGAAACUUACGCUAAUACCGCAUACGACCUACGGGUGAAAGCAGGGGAUCUUCGGACCUUGCGCGAUUGAAUGAGCCGAUGUCGGAUUAGCUAGUUGGCGGGGUAAAGGCCCACCAAGGCGACGAUCCGUAGCUGGUCUGAGAGGAUGAUCAGCCACACUGGAACUGAGACACGGUCCACACUCCUACGGGAGGCAGCAGUGGGGAAUAUUGGACAAUGGGCGCAAGCCUGAUCCAGCCAUACCGCGUGGGUGAAGAAGGCCUUCGGGUUGUAAAGCCCUUUUGUUGGGAAAGAAAAGCAGCAGGUUAAUACCCCGCUGUUCUGACGGUACCCAAAGAAUAAGCACCGGCUAACUUCGUG